rnacentral:rRNA from 1 species
AUUGAACGCUGGCGGCAGGCUUAACACAUGCAAGUCGAACGAGUGGCGGACGGGUGAGUAAUAUAUGGGAACCUGCCUGAUGGAGGGGGAUAACUACUGGAAACGGUAGCUAAUACCGCAUACCAUCAGAUGUGCCCAUCUGGGAUUAGCUGGUUGGUGGGGUAACGGCUCACCAAGGCGACGAUCCCUAGCUGGUCUGAGAGGAUGACCAGCCACACUGGGACUGAGACACGGUCCAGACUCCUACGGGAGGCAGCAGUGGGGAAUAUUGCACAAUGGGCGAAAGCCUGAUUCAGCCAUGCCGCGUGUAUGAAGAAGGCCUUCGGGUUGUAAAGUACUUUCGGCGGGGAGGCGGUACCCGCAGAAGAAGCACCGGCUAACUCCGUGCCAGCAGCCGCGGUAAUUC